GAACCCCAAGGAUUGGUAUUGGGGUGAUGCACGCAGCCCCCUCCCCAACCAUCAGAUGCUGCGCAGGUUACUGGGGUGGUGCACGGUGCCUCCAGCCUCACCUGGCACAAUUCAGGGGGUCCCAGCCCCCCCUCCCCUUAGGCAUCCCCCUGCCCUUUUUUAGGGUCUUCCCUGCUUCGCAGGGGUGCCCAGCACCCUUGCCCAUCCCUCCCCCUGCCCGCUGUGGGGCCUCUCCUACCACGGGCGCACCCCAGCCCCAGGGAGCCCCAAGGCAGAGGCAGCUGUCAAAAGACCGGUCUGGAUUUUAUUAAAAGUUCAGCACCAGUAAAAUAAUAAUAAUAAUAAUAAUAAUUAAAAAAAAAAAAAAGCAACUGUGCAAGACGGGAAGUAUUAAAUUAAUGGAGCUUAAGGCUACGGAGGGCUGGCGUGGUGAGAGUUCAAGGCACACGCGGGGCACGGGCAAUGCAGCCCCCCCAGGCUGCAGCCACGCGCUGGCACGGGGAUGCUGCAAGCCCCGGGAUCCUUGCUGCAGCCCUGGGACCCCCGCUACAGCACCAGGACCCCUGCAGCAGCACCGGGCCAUGGGCUCUGAGGGGGUCCAGGGCUCUGCAAGCUGCUGGUGGGAUGCUGGAAGCCCCAGGGCAGGAGCCCUGGAUGAGCUCCAAGGAUGCACAGGACCCACGUGCGUCACACCCAGCGCAGGGAAACCCACUGAACGCCUCGUGACAGCACUAGGGUUGGGUCCUGACCCCCAUCCACAGCUCCUGGGGAGGAGCCGAGGGGGACGGCAAACCCCAGUGCUGCAGGGGACCGCCGGCACCAAGGCUCCUGGGGACACCAGGGGACGGGUGGCUCAGGGGGGCACCCUGCCAGGCACAGCGGUGCGGAGAUGCCACCUGCUCCACCGCUGGGACUGGGGGCAGCGGAUGUCCAGGAGGCAGAGGCAGCCCUGCGGUGGGCACCGGGCAGGAUCAGCCCUUCCCGGUGAGCCUGAGUUUUUGUGCAGCAGCUGGCAGGAGCCUGAAGCCCGGCGUCCCCACGAUGGCAUCGCUGGGCCACCACCAUCCAGCUCCAGUCAGGGCCAGGGUCCCCUUCGCCUGGCUCAUCAGAGGCUCUCUGCAAACACGGAGGGCUCGGUGGUACCAGGGGGCAGGCAGCAGCCACCCCACACCCCCAGGCACGACCCCCCCCGAUCCCGGCAUCAGGAACCUUCGUCAGCUUUGUCCCCCUUGGUCUUGGGCUCCUGCCACCACUCCGC
rnacentral:lncRNA from 1 species